rnacentral:rRNA from 1 species
GUAGGUGGCAAGCGUUGUCCGGAAUUAUUGGGCGUAAAGCGCGCGCAGGCGGUUCUUUAAGUCUGAUGUGAAAGCCCACGGCUCAACCGUGGAGGGUCAUUGGAAACUGGAGAACUUGAGUACAGAAGAGGAAAGCGGAAUUCCACGUGUAGCGGUGAAAUGCGUAGAGAUGUGGAGGAACACCAGUGGCGAAGGCGGCUUUCUGGUCUGUAACUGACGCUGAGGCGCGAAAGCGUGGGGAGCAAACAGGAUUAGCUACCCUGGUAGUCCACGCCGUAAACGAUGAGUGCUAAGUGUUAGGGGGGUUUUCCGCCCCCCUUAGUGCUGCAGCUAACGCAUUAAGCACUCCGCCUGGGAGUACGGCCGCAAGGCUG